GGGUAUGCACAUGACGUCACGGUACCCGGAAGUUGCUGCGGUUACGUCCACUGAGUGGCAAAAAGACGAGUGGCAAGUAGAGCGCAGUAACGUUUAACAGCGUCAACACUGCCAGAAUCCUAUAAGAAAAAGAAGAAGAGCCGCCAAGAUUUUAUAUUCAACAUGGGGAAGAGCUGCUGUGCUAUCGACUGCACUAAUAGAUUUGCAAAGGGGUCGGAGCAAAGUUUCUAUAGGCUACCGAAAGCAACAGAAAAGAGACGGCGAUGGAUCACUGCGAUCCGGAGAGACAGCUGGUAUCCAGGCACCGAGACCUGGAUCUGCGGUUCACAUUUUGUGUCAGGAAAAAAGAGUGAUGAUCCUCUACACCCUGACUAUGUGCCAAGUUUAUUCAGCUUCACCUCUACUGCUGAUCGGACUCGGGCUGUCAACCACCUGGAGAGAUAUGUACGAACUCAAAACGUUUCUGGCAAAAGACAUGAUGGGCUAACUGCAACAGACAGAAGUACUGCGUCAGAGCAAGAAUUACAGGCAGAUCAAGGAGAUAAUAACACAAUACAAUACAUUUUACAGCAUAAGACAUCAGAGUCUCCUGAACACUUUCUGAACUCCUGACCAUUGACUUCAGCUAUUUCUUCACAACAGGUACAAACUGAAACUGGAGUCCAAGGCACUGAGGUCCAGACAGAGGAGACGCACAAUGACAUUGCCUCAUUAUAUAAGCAAAUUGAAUCUUUAAACAUCGAAUGCAGCAGCUCUUGGGUUUGCAUACUUCAGCUUAUUCAGAAAGCCUGCAACUUCAUCUCCUGUAGGUUUGGACGUAGCAUCACAGGGCCCUGACUUCCUUGAUGUAGUUUCAUUGACCACACUCAUGUCAACUUGACCUAAAACCUUUCUACUCUGCGUUCUGGGACAUGUCAUAUCUAUAGAGGACAGUUCAGAGCAGGCGAUUUUCUUUUUUUGUGUUGGCUGAAGCCACUGACAUGGCAGUGAAGUACACGGCGUGUCAUCACGCAGCCUCACACCAGACAUUACUGCAAACAUCAACGCUGCUGCAUGUGAACAUGUCUCUCCAAGUCCUGCCAUGCAUGUACAAUGUGCUGUUACAACUGUCCCUGUCUUCUCUGCAGCUAUCCAAGUUUUCAAGGGUGGCUCAUUCAUUCUCUGGCUGUGUUUCACCUGUACAAUUAGCAAGUGGCAGUGUCAGUUCCAAACAAAUCAGUCCUUCCAGAAAAAUACAGAUUUUUUUUGUGAUUGUUGCGGGCAAAAAUCCUUAAUUAUGCGGCAUGUUUUAUUAAUACAAGCAGGAUAUGUAUGCAAUUUAUGCGAUGAAAUUGUGGGAACUUCCAAAAACUGCGGUUUAAAAUAAAAAGUGAUUCCCCCAACACCCUGUUCUCACUAGGCUACUACCUUAAUGUAAAGAGUCAUUUCUUAUUACUUCCUAUGAUAAGCAAACAUACUACAUCACAGAAAGUGCUUCAAGUUCUCAUCUGGUUUUAUUUCAGACUUACAAAACAUUGAUGAGUCAAACAAGUUCUGUAGCUUUACAAAAGGAAUAUGCUUCAACUUCUGUAAAAAUGAAUAAAUAAAAUAUAAAAAAAUAAAA